CGGAACGGGUGAGUAACGCGUGAGGAACCUGCCUCAAAGAGGGGGACAACAGUUGGAAACGACUGCUAAUACCGCAUAAGCCCACGGCUCGGCAUCGAGCAGAGGGAAAAGGAGUGAUCCGCUUUGAAAUGGCCUCGCGUCCGAUUAGCUGGUUGGUGAGGUAACGGCCCACCAAGGCGACGAUCGGUAGCCGGACUGAGAGGUUGAACGGCCACAUUGGGACUGAGACACGGCCCAG
rnacentral:rRNA from 1 species